AAGAGAGAUGAAUAGUUCCCGAGUCUUUUCCUCUCUCUCUUUCUAGUAUGAUUCCAGACACUGCCUUUGGGGUGGACUGGUCUACAAUGGCCCUUUUCUCAACCUAAGGACUUAGACUGAUUUCCCAAGAAAGAAAAAUAAUCGCUUGCACAAUCAGAAAUAGCAAUUGAGAUUCACGGAAAGCAUGCACGUGUCAGUGUCUGUUGGGGAAGAAGAGUGUUGGGAAGGUGUGCAAAGCACUAUAAAAUGUCUCUGCCUAGAGGCAUCAUGGGUAUGACAUCCAUAGCUUGAGUGCAGCUGGGCCGGUCCAAGUAGAAAUCCAGAACUCUUGGAUGUUAACCUGAGAAGGCUAUGCUUAUUUGGUAUUAUUUGUGGACAGAUAACUGUGCCAUUCCUGGAGAUGCUUGAUGGAGACAGAAAGUAACAUAGGUCCAGAACCUUAAAGACUGUUAAGGGCUGAAAUACAUACCCCUAAAAUACAUGUGUUGAAGUUUAAA